rnacentral:lncRNA from 1 species
CUUUGGAAGUGGCUGAUCCUUAGAAUGGAAGCCUGCUGUGGCUCUCUGUCAGCUACAGAAGAAAGCUCAAAACAUGGAGACAUUUGUGCCUGGUCUUUGGGAAUUUUUGAGAUUCAUCUUCUGCAGGUCUUCCAGCCAAAGCACAACAGCCAUUCCAAACUCCAACCAUUUUCACACCCUGUUCUUUCCCCCUGUGUUUACCCGUGGGGGUCCCAGCUCAUCCUUCAUGAUUCAACUCAAGGACCCCAUCUGUUGUGGAGGCUGAUCCCUAGCAGAGUGAGGCAGCCCCUCUCUGAACUGUUUAAAGUACUGGGACAGCCCCAACAGCACGGCUUUUGAUGACGUGUUGAGGUGUUUGCCUCCUCUAUCAAACUGUGCAUGGUGUAAAGUGGCAAAUCUGCCCUUGCUGUCUUCAUCCUCAGGGCCACUCACAUUGUGUACGUCCUGGGCCACUCACAUUGUGCAUGUCCUGGGCCACUCACAUUGUGUAUGUCCUGUAGACUUCAUUAAAGAAAUGGAAGAUAUGGCCGGAUGCAGUGGCUCACGCCUAUAAUCCCAACACUUUGGAAGGCCAAGGCAGGUGGACCACUUGAGGCCAGGAAUUCGAGACCAGCCUGGCCAACGUGGGUAAAGCCCAUCUCUAUUAAAAACACAAAAAAUUAGCCGGACAUGGUGGCACAUGCCUGUAAUCCCAGCUACUCGGGAGGCUGAGGCAGCAGAAUCGCUUGAACCCAGGAGGCAGAGGUUGCAGUGAGCUGAGAUCACAUCACUGAACCCCAGCCUGGGCGACAGAAUGAGACUCUGCCUCAAAAAAUAAAAAUAAAAUAAAAUACACAAAAAAGAAAUGGAAGCUGGAAGAAUGAAUAUUGGAGUAAGUUAUCUAGCCACAGCCUGUGUAUCCUUAAGUGGACAAAUGACUUAGCACAUUUAUUUUCCUAUCUGUAAAUAAAAAUCAGAAUGAGAAUCCACCAGGCAGAUUUUUGUAAAUGUUCUUUUAAACAGAUGGACAAAAAUAUGAUAUUCCUCUGACAUUAUUUCUGUAGGGAUGAUGACAUUUGCUGUAUAAUUAGAACAUGAGGAUUCUGGUUAACACUGACAUAUCUCAGUGACGUCCCGAUGCUGUAAUAUUAAAGCGGGGGGAUGUUAGGGAUGAAGAAGUCUAGAAGCGAAGCUCUUUCCUUAGUAAUAAGAAAGCUGAAAGGCUUCUUUUUCACCCAUGCAGAGCUCCCAGACUUCUAUUUUAGUACAGUCAUUAAGAGCUUGGACUUUGGAGUCAAACUCCCUUGGUUUGAGUCUCACCUGUAGCACUAACUAGCCCUGUGACUUUGGGCAAGUAACUUAACUUCUCUAUACCUGGAUCUUACUAUCUGUAAAUUAGUAUAUUAAUAGCACCUCCCUCAGAGGUUAUUAUAAGGGUUAAAUGAGUUAAUGCAGAUAAGGCAUGGGAAGACAGCACCAGGCAAAACGUAAAUGCUGUUUAAGCCAUGUUAUUUUCCGCCAAAUACUAGGAUACAUUUUCUAAGUAUCAGAGAUGAUUAGAUCCACUUUAAGUGGCAUUGCUGGCCGGGCGCGGUGGCUCCCGCCUGUAAUCCCAGCACUUUGGGAUGCCGAGGCGGGUGGAUCACCUGAGGUCAGGAAUUCGAGACCAUCCUGGGCAACUG